AGCCCACUUACCAAUUUGUGUUCUCACUCUGGAAUUAUCAAAGCAUAAGAAAUCUGCUAUUGAAAAAGGAAAUGCCAAGAUCGGGCAGAAUCCUUUUUUUUUUUUUUUUUUUUUUUUAAUGUCCCAUCUUUUCUAAUCUGGGUUUCAGAGGCAGGGCCCACUGGCAGGAGGAGGAAAAAGCACAACCCCGCUCUGACAGGCAGUUCUCCUAGAGCAUGACGGGAAACAGAAAAUAGCCCACAAACAAGGCAACAUGGGGCAGAACCGCAGCCGGUGCCUCCAGCGGCUUGGACUGAUUGCACUUCUGGUUUCAACCCUGAUCAGUUGGAUGGAUGGAUGGACUAAAAUAGAAUCCCAGAAUGGGUUCUGAGAACUAAAUAGAAAGAGAAAGGCCCAGAGGCACAGACAGGACUCCCCCCCAGAGAUACAGAGGUUGUGGGGAGAGGAGGAGAAACAGUGAGAAGAGGAGAAAAAAGACCCCAAAUGGGAAAACCGCCAAGGAGGAAGGGCCUAGGAGAGUGGCAAAUGAUGGAGAGAGCUCAUAACUUCCUUCUCAGCCUGUCUGAGGGAGCAGAGAAAUUGGAUCACGAAAACUGGUGCAAGAAGCUAGAAGACGGGCCGGGAGAAGACAGUGUGUCUGAUGACCCAGCCUUAGGCUUGGAAUUAGAUGAUGAUUCUCCCCAACACAGCACCGAGUCCUCAUAGAGCCAUGUGAAGAAAUUCAGAGUGGCGACUUUACCUGUCCACGAUCACGCAGCAGAUCUUCAAACCCAUAUCCUGCAGACUCUGGAAUCCAGAAGCUUUCCAUCACCCCAGGCUCAAAACUGAAAACAAAAUGAUGAGAAUGAGAAUCCUUUGACAUGGGUUUCCAGGAGGAAGAAACCAUUGCCCACUAACAAGGUUCUGUUUGCAAGCACACUUCAUAUUCCUUAUGCAAAGCCAGGGCAAAAGGUGAACAGCCAACAUGUCCUGAAGAGCAGUCGUGUUGUAACGCGAAGGAAUCUGAUGGUUCCAAUCACACGGCGCGAUGUCCAGUGAUUCACGCUGGGUCAGAAAUGUUCUUUUAAGAAAAGACCUAAGUAAAAUCCGUGCUUCACAAACACGAACCCAUAUUAAAAUAAGCCUGCUUUUUAUAAGAUGAAGAAACUUGAAGCCAUUAUCUGAAAACUCAGAGGACAGAAAUGAAUUCGGAGGAAAAAGAGGUUAAUUGGUGGGAAUUGUUCGGACUGAUAGCUGAUAUUGAUCAGAAGCACUGACUGCUGGAUCUUCUCCCUCUUAGUUGCUUUACCUCCAUAGUCCACAAUUUUAAAGGUGGAUUGAAAUUUUAGGAGACAAUGAAGACCAAGGUUUUCUCACUUGAGCUCAGCAUUUUUCUGAAGGAGGGAGGCAUGAAUAUUCUGGCUGUAGGUUACAGUUUUCAGCACCUAUUACAAUUUUGUAAUCUCAAAAUCUGACCAGAACACCUAACUUUCAAUUUUUUCAUUUUGUUCCAUGUCUUUUCCCUGCAAUAUUAAAAGAGAAAGGGAAAGAGGGAGGCGGGGGGGGGGGGGGGGGCAGGGGUCAUGCAGAGAAAGGAAAAAAACUGAAAGAAGAAAGUAAAUACGAGUUCCCAAAGGGAGGGGAAAACAAUGGUCCAAUCGACUAUU
ensembl:lncRNA